rnacentral:rRNA from 1 species
UUAAGCGACUAAGCGUACACGGUGGAUGCCUAGGCAGUCAGAGGCGAUGAAGGGCGUGCUAAUCUGCGAAAAGCGUCGGUAAGCUGAUAUGAAGCGUUAUAACCGACGAUACCCGAAUGGGGAAACCCAGUGCAAUACGUUGCACUAUCGUUAGAUGAAUACAUAGUCUAACGAGGCGAACCGGGGGAACUGAAACAUCUAAGUACCCCGAGGAAAAGAAAUCAACCGAGAUUCCCCCAGUAGCGGCGAGCGAACGGGAGGAGCCCAGAGUCUGAAUCAGUUUGUGUGUUAGUGGAAGCGUCUGGAAAGUCGCACGGUACAGGGUGAUAGUCCCGUACACCAAAAUGCACAGGCUGUGAACUCGAUGAGUGGCGGGACACGUGACAUCCUGUCUGAAUAUGGGGGGACCAUCCUCCAAGGCUAAAUACUCCUGACUGACCGAUAGUGAACCAGUACCGUGAGGGAAAAGGCGAAAAGAACCCCGGCGAGGGGAGUGAAAUAGAACCUGAAACCGUGUACGUACAAGCAGUGGGAGCACCUUCGUGGUGUGACUGCGUACCUUUUGUAUAAUGGGUCAGCGACUUAUAUUUUGUAGCAAGGUUAACCGAAUAGGGGAGCCGUAGGGAAACCGAGUCUUAACUGGGCGUCUAGCUUUGCAAGGUAUAGACCCGAAACCCGGUGAUCUAGCCAUGGGCAGGUUGAAGGUUGGGUAACACUAACUGGAGGACCGAACCGACUAAUGUUGAAAAAUUAGCGGAUGACUUGUGGCUGGGGGUGAAAGGCCAAUCAAACCGGGAGAGUAGCUGGUUCUCCCCGAAAGCUAUUUAGGUAGCGCCUCGUGAACUCAUCUUCGGGGGUAGAGCACUGUUUCGGCUAGGGGGCCAUCCCGGCUUACCAACCGAUGCAAACUCCGAAUACCGAAGAAUGUUAUCACGGGAGACACACGGCGGGUGCUAACGUCCGUCGUGAAGAGGGAAACAACCCAGACCGCCAGCUAAGGUCCCAAAGUCAUGGUUAAGUGGGAAACGAUGUGGAAGGCACAGACAGCCAGGAUGUUGGCUUAGAAGCAGCCAUCAUUUAAAGAAAGCGUAAUAGCUCACUGGUCGAGUCGGCCUGCGCGGAAGAUGUAACGGGGCUAAACCAUGCACCGAAGCUGCGGCAGCGACGUUUAGGCGUUGUUGGGUAGGGGAGCGUUCUGUAAGCCGUUGAAGGUGACCUGUGAGGGUUGCUGGAGGUAUCAGAAGUGCGAAUGCUGACAUAAGUAACGAUAAUGCGGGUGAAAAACCCGCACGCCGGAAGACCAAGGGUUCCUGUCCAACGUUAAUCGGGGCAGGGUGAGUCGACCCCUAAGGCGAGGCUGAAAAGCGUAGUCGAUGGGAAACAGGUUAAUAUUCCUGUACUUGGUGUUACUGCGAAGGGGGGACGAGAAGGCUAGGCUGGCCGGGCGACGGUUGUCCCGGUUUAAGCGUGUAGGGGGAGUGACCAGGUAAAUCCGGUUGCUUAUCAACCCUGAGGCGUGAUGACGAUGCACCACGGUGCAGAAGCAGUUGAUGCCAUGCUUCCAGGAAAAGCCUCUAAGCAUCAGGUAACAUUAAAUCGUACCCCAAACCGACACAGGUGGUCAGGUAGAGAAUACUCAGGCGCUUGAGAGAACUCGGGUGAAGGAACUAGGCAAAAUGGUGCCGUAACUUCGGGAGAAGGCACGCUGGCGUUAGGUGAAAGGACUAGCUCCUGGAGCUGAAGCCAGUCGCAGAUACCAGCUGGCUGCAACUGUUUAUAAAAACACAGCACUGUGCAAACACGAAAGUGGACGUAUACGGUGUGACGCCUGCCCGGUGCUGGAAGGUUAAUUGAUGGGGUCAGCCGCAAGGCGAAGCUCUUGAUCGAAGCCCCAGUAAACGGCGGCCGUAACUAUAACGGUCCUAAGGUAGCGAAAUUCCUUGUCGGGUAAGUUCCGACCUGCACGAAUGGCGUAAUGAUGGCCAGGCUGUCUCCACCCGAGACUCAGUGAAAUUGAACUCGCUGUGAAGAUGCAGUGUACCCGCGGCAAGACGGAAAGACCCCGUGAACCUUUACUAUAGCUUGACACUGAACAUUGAGCCUUGAUGUGUAGGAUAGGUGGGAGGCCUUGAAGUGUGGACGCCAGUCUGCAUGGAGCCAACCUUGAAAUACCACCCUUUAAUGUUUGAUGUUCUAACUCGGCCCCAUGAUCUGGGGUGAGGACAGUGUCUGGUGGGUAGUUUGACUGGGGCGGUCUCCUCCCAAAGAGUAACGGAGGAGCACGAAGGUUAGCUAAUCACGGUCGGACAUCGUGAGGUUAGUGCAAAGGCAUAAGCUAGCUUGACUGCGAGAGUGACGGCUCGAGCAGGUACGAAAGUAGGUCUUAGUGAUCCGGUGGUUCUGAAUGGAAGGGCCAUCGCUCAACGGAUAAAAGGUACUCCGGGGAUAACAGGCUGAUACCGCCCAAGAGUUCAUAUCGACGGCGGUGUUUGGCACCUCGAUGUCGGCUCAUCACAUCCUGGGGCUGAAGUAGGUCCCAAGGGUAUGGCUGUUCGCCAUUUAAAGUGGUACGCGAGCUGGGUUUAGAACGUCGUGAGACAGUUCGGUCCCUAUCUGCCGUGGGCGUUGGAAGAUUGAGAGGGGCUGCUCCUAGUACGAGAGGACCGGAGUGGACGAAUCACUGGUGUUCGGGUUGUCAUGCCAAUGGCAUUGCCCGGUAGCUAAAUUCGGAAGAGAUAACCGCUGAAAGCAUCUAAGCGGGAAACUUGCCUCGAGAUGAGUCUUCCCUGGGGCUUAAAGCCCCCUGAAGGAACGUUAAAGACUAUGACGUUGAUAGGCUGGGUGUGUAAGUGCAGCGAUGUAUUGAGCUAACCAGUACUAAUGAUCCGUGAGGCUUAACCUU